rnacentral:rRNA from 1 species
UCCUUCGGGGUGAGUGGCAGACGGGUGAGUAACGCGUGGGAACGUGCCCUUCAGUUCGGGAUAACCCAGGGAAACUUGGGCUAAUACCGGAUACGUGCGAGAGCAGAAAGAUUUAUCGCUGAAGGAUCGGCCCGCGUCUGAUUAGCUAGUUGGUAGGGUAAUGGCCUACCAAGGCGACGAUCAGUAGCUGGUCUGAGAGGAUGAUCAGCCACAUUGGGACUGAGACACGGCCCAA